UGGGGAAUAUUGCACAAUGGGCGGAAGCCUGAUGCAGCGACGCCGCGUGGGGGAUGAAGGCCUUCGGGUUGUAAACUCCUUUCGACAGGGACGAAGCUUUUGUGACGGUACCUGUAUAAGAAGCACCGGCUAACUACGUGCCAGCAGCCGCGGUAAUACGUAGGGUGCGAGCGUUGUCCGGAAUUACUGGGCGUAAAGAGCUCGUAGGUGGUUUGUCGCGUCGUCUGUGAAAUUCCGGGGCUUAACUCCGGGCGUGCAGGCGAUACGGGCUGACUUGAGUGCUGUAGGGGAGACUGGAAUUCCUGGUGUAGCGGUGAAAUGCGCAGAUAUCAGGAGGAACACCGAUGGCGAAGGCAGGUCUCUGGGCAGUAACUGACGCUGAGGAGCGAAAGCAUGGGUAGCGAACAGGAUUAGAUACCCUGGUAGUCCAUGCCGUAAACGGUGGGCGCUAGGUGUAGGGGGCUUCCACGUCUUCUGUGCCGUAGCUAACGCAUUAANCGCCCCGCCUGGGGAGUACGGCCGCAAGCU
rnacentral:rRNA from 1 species